AUAGCCGUGUUUGGUGCGUUAGUGGAUUUAUAAUCGAAAUUAUUUUUGGUGGUGUGUAGGAAAGUUUCGGGGACGAAACUUUCUUUAAUGGGGGGAUGAUGUAAGGACUGAGAAUUUGACAGUAUAGUUAGACUCUCUGUUGAUAAUAUUUUUGUGUGUAAUGUAAUUACAAAAGCACUCGUCAUGUUUUGAGAGAAAACGAGCUAGAACGGAGAUUUUACGCGAUUUCCAAGUUUCACUUAAAGUGAAUAGUAACUCGGUUUUCCGGAGAGGCCAAUCUGUAGAGUUGGCUUUCGGCGCGAAUUGGACUCCGUUCAUAGCGAUCCAAUAGCUCGUUUUGAAUGGUUCAGCUAUUUUGAACUAAUGGGGCUGACAGAUUUUGGGUUUGAGGCACGAAUUUCGAGAAAAUUUGAAAAUACAUGUUUUAUAUGUAUUUGUGCGUCAUUUCACCUUUUGGAGAGAAAACAGAUUUCGUUGCGAAUCCGUGACCGAUCGAGGUGAAACAAAAUCGUAGCUUUGUUGUCUCCAUUGUGCUGAUCACACUAGUGUGAUCCGUUCGCAAAUCUGACGACCGGAUCUGCGGAUAUCGCGCGAUGAUCGAGGAGGGGUCGGUGAUGGCAAAACGGUAAUUUUGCAAAAGCUGCGACAUUUUAUGUACCGUUUCGCGUGAAAUCGCACGUGGAGGUGUUUUUGCGCGUUU
rnacentral:lncRNA from 1 species